ensembl:snRNA U4 U4 spliceosomal RNA
AGCUUUGCGCAGUGGCAGUAUCGUAGCCAAUGAGGUUUAUCCGAGGCGCGAUUAUUGCUAAUUGAAAACUUUUCCCAGAAAGUUUGUAUAAUUUGCAAUAGUGCUUAAAUUAUAAAGUAAAGUGGAAAAAGGCUAUAGAAU